rnacentral:rRNA from 1 species
CCUACGGGCGGCAGCAGUAGGGAAUCUUCCACAAUGGGCGCAAGCCUGAUGGAGCAACACCGCGUGAGUGAAGAAGGGUUUCGGCUCGUAAAGCUCUGUUGUUGGAGAAGAACGUGCGUGAGAGUAACUGUUCACGCAGUGACGGUAUCCAACCAGAAAGUCACGGCUAACUACGUGCCAGCAGCCGCGGUAAUACGUAGGUGGCCAGCGUUAUCCGGAUUUAUUGGGCGUAAAGCGAGCGCAGGCGGUUGCUUAGGUCUGAUGUGAAAGCCUUCGGCUUAACCGAAGAAGUGCAUCGGAAACCGGGCAACUUGAGUGCAGAUGAGGACAGUGGAACUCCAGGUGUAGCGGUGGAAUGCGUAGAUAUAUGGAAGAACACCAGUGGCGAAGGCGACUGUCUGGUCUGCAACUGACGCUGAGGCUCGAAAGCAUGGGUAGCGAACAGGAUUAGAUACCCCGGUAGUC